GACGAACGCUGGCGGCGUGCUUAACACAUGCAAGUCGAACGCUGAAGCUCAGCUUGCUGGGUGGCUGAGUGGCGAACGGGUGAGUAACACGUGAGUAACCUGCCCUCUUCUUUGGGAUAACGCCCGUAAACGGGUGCUAAUACUGGAUAUUCACUGAUUCUCGCAUGGGGGUUGGUGGAAAGGUUUUUUCUGGUGGGGGAUGGGCUCGCGGCCUAUCAGCUUGUUGGUGGGGUGAUGGCCUACCAAGGCGUUGACGGGUAGCCGGCGUGAGAGGGUGACCGGGCACAUUGGGACUGAGAUACGGCCCAGACGCCGACGGGAGACAGCAGUGGGGAAUAUUGCACAAUGGGCGAAAGCCUGAUGCAGCGACGCCGAGUGAGGGAUGGAGGCCUUAGGGUUGUAAACCUCUUUCGCUAAUGGGCAAGCCGCAGCUUUGGGUUGUGGUGAGGGUAGUGGGUAAAGAAGCGCCGGCUAACUACGUG
rnacentral:rRNA from 1 species